rnacentral:lncRNA from 1 species
CUUUUUUUUUUUUUUUUUUUUUUUUUUUGGUUUCCACCUCUUUUCACAUAAAAAUGUGCAUUUACAUUGAGUAAUUUAAAAAAAUGUGCAUUUAUAGUCUCUGAUAACAGUUUUUAACUUGACAUACUUCUUCCCUCAGUGAUGUAUUCAUUUUCAGAGUUUCAACUCUUACUCUUUUGAAAUUGACUCUAAAGUAUUUUCAGCUAUAAUUUUGCUUAUCUCAUGACUCAGUAGUUCAUUUUUAAAUAUAUGCUACAAAAUAGAUGCUAUUAGAAUUCCAGACUAAAGCCAUCAAAAAUAGAAACAUAUUCCACUGUCUUUCAAUUAUUCCCUUUUACCUAGUAUACAAUCCAGACCCCCCACUCAUGUUUUUUUUUUUAAUUUCAAUUAACAUUUCUAGAACAACUCAUUCACUUGACAAAUAAUAACUUUUGAAAUGUUUUUUUCUUAUUAACCAGUCAUCAAGUCUUCUUCGAAAGUUCUCACAAUCAUUUCUUUUCUUUUUUUUCACUUUCAGGCUGUAUGUUGUGUUAAGGGUAAGUGAUUUAUUUGGGGGGUAUGAUAAUUGCAUGUCUAAGAAAUUUUCUGUAAUUUUUUAUUCAUCCAUGUAUGCUAAAUGCCUGCAAAGUUCAUAUUGAUCAAAAUGUACUAAUUUCCUAACUAGCUUGACUCUAAGCUAAUCUAUUGUAAAAAAGUUUUUACAGUAAAAUCGGUAAAGUGAUAUUUUUUUAGAUUAGAUACUAUACUCCACAUUGGUACUUUUAAUGGCUUCCAAACUAUGGCUUCCCAUUCCUUUUCACACUUUCCAGUUUGGUUCCAGCUCUAUAUUAUUUGAACAAAACAUAAUAAUGAAUUCAUAAUAAUGAAUUCAACCACAUGAGUUAAAUGAACUGAAGAAUUUAUUUUAGUACCCAAAGCCUUAGUAUCCUGAUCCUCAGCACAAGCACAGCAGUUGGCACAUAGUAGGUUCCUAAGAAAAAGAUAUAUAUUAGGCAUUCAUUUCCUUUCCUCCUAUUUAAAUCUGCCUAGUAGUUUCAAACUUCUGCACUUUUUCUAAUCCCUCCCUGUCUACAGGAGUGUUAAGCACAUUGUAAUUAUCAUAUCAUAUAAUCCUCAAAAUUUGCUGCUCAAUUUUACUGAUGAGUGUUUGAAGCCUAUAGAAGUUUAAAACCUGACAGAUUAGGGACCAUGUGGAAUGUUACACAAAACAUUGGAGAUUUGAUAUUGUAGAAACUAUGCUGCUCUUCCUUGUCUUUGUAAAAUCUGAAAAUUCUACUUUGGCCAUUUAAUUUCUAAAAGUAGAUUGUAAAAUUCAUGAACAUUAUAAAGUCUGUUACUGAGAAGUGAGGUAGAAUGCCAACUGAGCCAGGUGACCGGGCUUCACUAUGUUUUGUCACUAAAUAACUGUGUGGUCUUGGACAUGCUACUUUGUGUUUUGGACAUCAAUUUUCCUUCCUGUUAAAUGAAGGUACCCAAAUAGCUAUGUAAUAAAUAUCACUAAGCUCUAAAUAUUGUGGUUGUCAUUAUCAUAGUCUGACAUAAAAUAGAUUGAAAUACAAUUUCUUUAUAAAACCGACAAAGAAUAUAUAUCUGAUUUAUCAGAUCAUAAUUUGGCUGUGAAUAAAGAAUCAGGUGCUAAGGAUAGAAUUUAUGAGAUAAAGAAUAUAAUCUUCUCGACAAAAUGAAAACCCAAAGUAAAAACUGAUUUAAUAUAGUCAAACAUCUGGAUAUGUGACUAAAAUCUUCAGCUUUCAUGUGGCUGUUUGAUUUUGUGUGAAUAAUAUCAACUUAAAAAUGUUAGGACAAACUACCAGGUAUAAAAUAAAUAAACAGCAAAGAUUCAUUGUACAAUACAAGGAAAUAUAGCUGUUAAUACAUAAAAACUUAAAUGGCGUAAAUCUAUAAAAAUACUGAAUCACUAUGUUGUACACCUGAAACCAACAUAGUAAUGUAAAUCAAGCAUACAAUAAAAAUACUGGAACUAAAUUCAUAUCAAAAUAAAUAACCAGGCUUACCUAAUUUGAAAAAAAAUUAAUUUUUGAUUAAUUUAGCCUUAAAGAUAAAGACAAUAAUAAUUAUUUUGGCAUUUAAAAUAUUUUCUAUUAUUUUAUAAAAUAUAUUUAGCAAAAUAUCUAGGUACAUACCGAAGAAUAAGUGAUUCUGCAUAAAAUACAUUUUUUCUACUUUUUAUUGUUUUCCCAUUAAUUCUAAUUUGCUAAAUCAUAGAUUAUUCACCUCUUCUUACAUUAUACCUUUUUCUAGUGAUGAACUCUCACCUAAAAACAAAACAAAACAAAUUUGAAUUUAAAAAAUUGUUCAAUGUCACAAAAUAUUAAGUGAAAAAGAUGAAAAGAGAGUCAAUUAAUAUUUAUAUAUUUCUUGAUAGGUACUCUUUUAUAUUUCAUGAACCAAGAAAAUAGCCCCAAAUUUCAGUGAAUAUAAUUUCAGGGUUGUAGAAUGGUGGGGUGAGGUUUCAGUCACCUGGAGUAUCAUCGGUAGGUUAAAAGUUUAAAUUAUGAUGGAAAUUAAUUUUAAAAACAUAACAGCAGGCCUUUUAACUAUGAGGCAGAAAGCAUAUAGUCUCUUAUGGUAGAAAGAAGUAUAAUUAAAAAGCUAUCAAUAGUCUGUCAUUGUCAAAACUACCUUUGUCACCUGAAGCAUAUUCUUUGUAAUUAUAUUUUAGGCUUUAAGCUAGAUCACCAUUAACCUCAGAAAAAAAAGUAAGCAUUGCUAUGCUUUCUGGUGUGAGAAAUUAUAUCAUCAUGUAAAUUAAACCUCAUUCAGCAGUCAAAUUAGAUUUGGGAAAUGAUUGAGUAUUAAACCUACUCGUUUAUAUUAUCAAAUGACACCACCCUGAGAGCACUAGGGGAAAAGAGGAAGAGUUUCCCUUCUUUUGAAAGAUUUCAAGAUUCCUUAUAUGUAUUGAAUAUGAUUUUGAGCAGACAUCAGAGAAAUAAAAUUGAAGCAAUAGAAGGGAAAUGCAAAGAUAUUUUUAGCCUUUCCCUAAUGAUUUCUUUUCAGCUCUCAGACAGUACAAAAUGAGUCAACACUUAAGUAAGGCAGAAAUAAUAUAACGAGUCUGCAAAAUUAUAGCUACCUACAGCUCAGAUCUUCAAUCAAGUAAUUGUUAAAGCCUCGCUCACUAGGAGAAGGAACAAAUAUGUUCUCAAUUGAGCUUGCUUAAUAUUUUUAACCUUAUUGUCAAAGAAAGGAGUCAUAAUUAUGAGCACAAUACAUGAAGCAGAAAGCAGCACUAUUGCAUCGUCCUAAUGAUUAAUGUUUUUCCCCAAGGUGGUCUCUUCAGUGGUAGAUGAAGGAAUUCUAUGCAGCUUUCUAUCCCUGAUAAGAUGGUGGAGCCUAAUGCCAAAUCAUCAGCUACUGUCUUUCCUGAGUACUACUUGUAAAAAGUUAUGUUAAUUGAUAUAAGUGAUUAUCAGCUGUAUGCAGGAUAUAGCCUAAAAGCAAAUGUGCAGUCAUAUUGAUCUAAUGUUGGAGACACAGGGCACACUGGAAGGUACUCUAUUGUAGCAUUAUUUGCAAAGAAACCUAUAACACAAGGUUUUUCUACCUUGAUGUGAUUGUCAUUUUGGCCAGAAAACUCUGUGUAUAAUAGCAUGUUUAGCAGCAUCCCUGGCUACUAGCCAUUAGACGCCAGUAGUAACCACUCAUCCUCAGUUGUGACAAACUGUCCCCUGGGAGGCCAAAUUGCCCCCAGUUGAAAACCACUUGUGCAAGAGCCUUGGAAGUACUAUAGAGCACAAAUGUUAUCUGUAUCUAUACAUCUAUAUGAAUAGACACAGACACACAUACACACACACACACAUAUAUUCACAACUCUAUUUACCAUUAUAUACAUCUAUAUACCAUCAUAUAAUAUAUAUACAUCUAUAAACACAUAUAUGCAUGUAUAUCAAUAUAUACAUAUAUACAAUCAUAUGUAUAUAUAUUCAAUUGUAUAUGUAUAUAUUACAUUUAUAAUACAUAGAUAUACCAUUAUAUAUAGAGAGAAGCAUACAGGUAUACAUGCAAUAUAUGCAUGUAUAUGUAUUAAUAUAUAAUAUACAUUUAUAUACACAUAUAUAUUGUAUUGUGUGUAUAUAUGUAUAUUUAUAUGUCUCAAAACCAUAAAGUCUUAAAACAUAUAAUAUUAUUGCAGAGAGGAUUAAGAUGGCAGAAUAGAAGGACUGGAGCUCAAAUUCUCUCCUAAAAAAACACCAAAAUUCACAACUAAAGGCUGAGCAAUCUCCACCCAAAUGGACUAGAAACCUUAAAAAAGAUACCCUACUCCAGAAGAAAAAGAGGAGGGCACAUCAAGAGGUAGGAGGGGCGAUUUCAUGAUAUAAACAACCCCACACCAUUGGGGUGGGAAGCUCCACAGACUGAAAACGAACUGGUUCACAGAGACUCACCUACAGGAGUGAGAGUUCUGAGCCGCACAUCAAACCCUCAUGUGUGGGGAUCUGGCACUGGGAGAAAGAGCCACCGGAGCAUCUGGCAUUGAAGGCCAGUGGGGCUUGUGUGCAGGAGUUCCACAGGGCUCAGGGAAACAGAGAUACCAUUCUUAAAAGGCGCACAUGGACUUUCAUGUGCACUGUUUCCCAGGGCAGAGCAAGGUCUCCAUAGGAAUCUGGGUUCUUGGAAGACAUCCUGGGAAAACGGGGGUGAAUGUGGCUUGUUGUGAGGGAUGGACAUUGAAAGCAAAGCUCUCGGGAAUAUUCAGCAGGGUGCCUGUCUCUGGAGGUGACCAUUUUGGGAAAAUCUGGCCCCAUUCAUCAGUCAAUGCUGAGAAGCCCCAGGGCAAACAACAAUCCAGGUGGGAUCACAUCCCCGCCCCUCAGUAAACAGGCUACCUAAAGACCCCCUCAGGCACACAGUUGCCUCUAAUCCCAUCCAGAGGCUAAGCCCCACCCACCAGAGGGAUUAGAAUCAGCUCCACAAACCAGUGGGCAGGCAUAAGCCCCUCCCAUCAGGAAGCCUACAGCAAGCCCCCAUACUCACUUCAGCCACAAUGGGGGGCAGACAUCAGAAGUAAGAGAGGCUACAACUCUAGUAUCUGUAAAAAGGUCACCACACCAAAAACCUAUCAAAAUGAAAAGACAGAGAACUAUAACUCAGAUGAGGGAGAAAGAAAAAACCCCAGAAAGUCAGCUAAGCGAUGAGAUUAUCAGCAUCCAGGAAAAAGACUUUAGAUUGUUGAUGCUGAAGAUAAUGCAAGACAUUGGAAAUAAACUGGAGGCAAAGAUGGAUAACUUACAGGAAACACUGACCAAAGAGAUACAAGAUAUAAAACUUAAACAAGAAGAGAUGCAAAAUAUAAUAACUGAAAUAAAACAUUCACUAGAAGCAGCUAACAGCAGAAUACAGGAGGCAGAAGAAGGAAUAGGUGAGGUGGAGGACAGAUUAGUGGAAAUUAUGGAUGCAGAACAGAAAAGAGAAAGAGAUUGAAAACAAAUGAAGAGAGUCACAGAGAACAGAAAAGAGAAAAAAGACUGAAAACAAAUGAAGAGAGUCGCACCAACAUCCGUAUUAUAGGGGUGCCAGAAGGAGAAGAGAGAGAGAAGGGGACAGAAAAAAGAUUCCAAGAGAUAAUAGCCGAAAACUUCCCUAACAUGGGAAUGGAACCACUCACUCAAAUCCAAAAAACACAACGAGUACCAUAUAAAAUAAACCCAAGGAGGAAUACACCGAGACACAUAUUAAUCAAACUAACCAAAAUUAAAGACAAAGAGAAAAUCUUGAAAGCAGCUAGGGAAAAGAAAUAACAUACAAGGGAACCCCAAUAAGAUUAUGGGCAGAUUUUUCAGCAGAAACUCUGCAGGCCAGAAGGGAGUGGCAUGAUAUACUUAAUGUGAUGAAAGGAAAAAACCUCCAACCAAGAUUAUUCUACCCAGCAAGGCUCUCAUUCAGAUUUGAAGGAGAAAUCACAACCUUUACAGAUAAGCAAAAGUUAAGAGAAUUCAGCAACACUAAACCAGCCUGACAACAACUACUAAAGGAACUUCUCUAGGCAGAAAAGAAAAGCCCGCAACAGGGAACAAAAAUGCCACAAAUGACAAGGCUCACCGGUAAAGGUAUAUAUACAGUAAAGAUACAAAAUCAUCCAUGCACAAUUAUACCACCAAAAUCAAAAAUCAUGAGAAGAGGUGGGUACAAAUGCAGGACACUGGAGAUGUACUUGCAAUUAAGAGACCAACAACUAUAAAACAAUCAUUUGACAUCAUUCUUGGAAUGCUGAGGUCUUCUUAGAUCUGAUUCUGAUUUCUUUUCCAUCAAAGAAUUUAUGAUAAUUACAAUUAAAUAAUGCAACUGUACAAUUAAAUGAUACAGUUCUGCAAUUGUUUUAUUAAUAACCAUUUCUCUCCAUGGUAUGAUGUAAGGUCUAUAAUGUCUUGUUUAUCACAUCACCUAGAAUGGUGUAAUGCCUGUAUUGAAGAAUCAAUAAGAUGUAACAAAUUUUGAAGAUAUAUUUAUAUAAUUACACUAUUUUUUAACCAAUUUAUGCAAUUUAUACUUUACUUAUUUUCAGAGGGUGUAUUAUUUUUGUUAUUCUUACCAGUUAAGCUAUUCUUUUUAUUAUGCUAUAUAAAAUAUUUAAUGGUAUAUAAGGCUUUCUUCUUUAUAAAUUUUAGUUUCAUAAUAUACACAAUUUUAAUAUGCUAAUUUUUAAAGAGAAAUUGAAAUGUAAUAGAUAAUACUAAAUAGUAAAGAUGAAAGCCAUACAAAAUGGGAUAAAGUAUAGAAAAAUUUUCCUAUUUGUCUCAGCAUAUUUUCUAUUCCACUUCUUCAGAGGGAGUCACUUAAUCUGUUUCUUAAGAUCCAUGAUAUAAUAAUCUGUGUGAAUGUAAUUGUGUUUAAAUAUAUGUAUUUUAUUAUGUAAAAAAAUAAAAAUAAAAAAA